CACGUAGGCUGCUUUGUAAGUCAGGGGUGAAAUCCCACGGCUCAACCGUGGAACUGCCUUUGAUACUGCUUAGCUUGAAUCCGGGAGAGGGUGGCGGAAUUCCAGGUGUAGGAGUGAAAUCCGUAGAUAUCUGGAGGAACAUCAGUGGCGAAGGCGGCCACCUGGACCGGUAUUGACGCUGAGGUGCGAAAGCGUGGGGAGCAAACAG
rnacentral:rRNA from 1 species